GGAAGGGGCGGGACUUACCAGCUCUAUAUAACCCGUGAACCGGAAAGUGUUUCUACCUUGACUGAUUUUGACACGGAUUUUGACCAUUUCAUCGUUAGUUUAUAGUUCAACAAUGCAGCAACGAGAAGAGAAGCAGUUAGAAGCGGCGGUGGAGUCUCUCGUUUCUCGGGUAGCACACGUCAAAAACGCUCUUCACAGUUUCAUUUAUAAGUUGGAAAAUGAAUACGAGCGAUUAACAUGGCCCUCUGUUUUGGACAACUUCGCUCUUCUAUCUGGUCAGCUAAACACUAUCAAUAAACUGCUGAAGAACGAGAAGACACCAUCUUUUCGCAACCAGGUUAUAAUACCACUGCUUCUGUCUCCAGACCGAGAUGAGGAUUUAGCAAAACUCACAGAGCAGCGUGUCCCAGUGUUCAGCCAUGAGAUUGUACCAGACUACUUGCGGACCAAGCCUGAUCCAGAGGUGGAGGAGCAGGAGAAACAGCUGAGUGCAGAGGCGGCACGAAUUGGUCCAGAGGUGGCACAGAAACAGAUCCAGACGUUGAAUAAAUUGUGUUCCAAUCUGCUAGAGAAACUUAACAAUCCUCGUGAUGACAGAGAUGCAGAAAGUGCAGCAAUACGGCAGAACAAACCAUCUUUCAACCCUGCUGAUACUAACGCAUUGGUUGGAGCUGUUGCAUUUGGAAAGGGGCUUUCCAAAUGUAGACCUCCAGGUCCAGUGGCCCCUGGACAUCCAGGGCAAGGGCCCAUGAUGAGUGGAGGUCCAACCUUACAGCAGGUCACUAUUGGUGGUGGUUCAAGCCAGCAAGCAGGUAUGGGUGGACAUGUGGCUCCACAACAGCAAGGGCAGCCAGGUAGGAGACCUGGAGAGCUGGGUUAGUAUUUCACCUGACUACUUUGAGUGUGUGUUGUUCGUGUUGGAUUCUUUUGUACUGAUGUUAAGCCAUUGCUGUUCUUCAGCUCCCUGUCUUUGUGUAAUUGUGAGAAUAUAUACCCUUCCACACAACAUAAUUUAAACAGUUAUUGGACAGUAAAAGCUUAAUGAAUAGAUCUAACAAAUACAUAUUUCUUAUGAUGAGCAGGGUCAGGGCAAAUGUUUGACUUCCUUUUAUAAAGUGGUGAUGCUGUUUAAAACUAUCUGACUUGACCUCCGCUUUUUGUCAUGCUCGUCCACUUCCAGGUGAGACAGAAAUUCAUCUCGGAAUGAGCCUGAUAUUUCAAGGGAACUAUUUAAUAAGUAAUAAAUACCCUUGAUAUGUGCUGAACUCUGUAGAUUUCUGAGUGCACAUGUAACCAAGUAUUAAAGCAACUUUCAUAAAAAAUAACUUUUAAUUUUUGCUCACACUGUCACUGUAUCCUGACAUUACUACAUGAAUCAGAUAAUCUGUGAACAAAAUCACCUUCCUCUGCCUCCUGGUGCUCCUAAUGGCAUAAGGAAAACAACUAAUCACAGCCGAGGAGUCUCUAGCGAUGACUGCUCGUGAACUCCAAUCAAACUGUAAAACUAGGCUUUGACCACAGUUCAUGACACUUCGUUAGAGAUUCCUCAGCUCUGAUUGGUUGUUAAUCUUUGGUAGAAACUUAAAAAAAUUAUUUUCUUAAAGUUACCUACCGAACCUUUGAUUCUCUCCCUUUUUUUCUUCCUCAGGAAAAAUGCCAAGCAGCAUCAAGACAAACAUCAAAUCUGCAUCCGGUUCAAUGCAUCCUUACAACCGAUGAGCUCCUUUUCUUAUUUGUUAAGCCAACAUUUGUUACAUUUCGGUGACUCGCCUACAGCAAUGACAGCAUUUUUAAUACAUACCUUUUGUAACCUUAUAUAAACCCAUUAUUUUCAUAGAAUGGACCAACUUCUAGAAAGUUAUCACUCUGUUCUCUCUUAAUCUGUUUCACUGACAUUCUUAGUGUAAAAUGAUCUCAAACAUAAAAUGUUAAUACGACCUUUUUCAUUUUUGAUACAUCAUCUGAGCCUCAGUGUUUAAGCCACUAGAUGGCAGUAUGUCAUCAUUUAUGGGUUUAUAAUAACUUGUACUUGGAACUCUACUAGUCACCCUUUUUUUUUAAUAAAAGAUCUCUUAAAAGAA